CUGAGUCAAAGCAUUAUUUUUAAUUAGAGGGCUUUUGACUGACCCUAAAGGAACUUAAGUUGGUUUUCCCACUCUCCCAGUACCACUUUCUGAUCACACUUUUCUUCCCCAUUCUUUCCAAAUCAUUGCAACUGCUAUCAAGAUUCAUUUUACAUUCCUAAGUGAGUUCAGCAACUGGCUCCCUCCUUCUUUCUUUCUACUUUGAACCAUUCACUACUUUAUAACAUCUUGGAUACUGACUCAUUGGAUCCCUUGACUUCACCUGGAACACAAUUUUAUUUGUAUACUGAAAAAGCUCAUUCUGAGAAGGAAUCUCUAGUGCACCACAAGCUGCCCAAGGAAGCCAUGAUACAAGAAAAGAUCAUGAACAUAAGGAUUCAUUUUGGGAAUGGACAUGACGCCCAUGAUAGCUAUGCAUUCACAGGACUUGGGCUAAUCAGAACAUCUUCCCUCCACUCCAAAGGACAGGUGGAAGCAUCUCACUCCUUGCUGUUAAGAGCAGAACGCAUGUGAGGUUCAUUGGGGUGUUUUGCAGAAGACAACAACACCUUUCAAUUAAUUUCAAUUCAUUUCAACAUCUGUGAAGUACAGAAGAAUAGGACCAGUUCCAAAAAUGAGCAUAUUUGCUCAUACUGAGAACUCAGAAGGAAGGUGAAAAUGUAAAGUUCCUUCAUUUUGAAAACAAUAAUAGCUGACAGAAAUCCUUUCCCAAGUUAAUAAAAAUCAUGUAACUAUU